AAUCAACGCUGGCGGCGCGCUUAACACAUGCAAGUCGAGCGAGAAAGGGGGAGCAAUCCUCUGAGUACAGCGGCGCACGGGUGAGUAACACGUGGAUGAUCUACCUCGAAGUGGGGAAUAACCCUGGGAAACCGGGGCUAAGACCGCAUACGCCCGCAAGGGGAAAGCCGCAAGGCGCUUGGAGAGGAGUCCGCGGCCGAUUAGCUAGUUGGUAGGGUAACGGCCUACCAAGGCGGGGAUCGGUAGCCGGCCUGAGAGGGCACACGGCCACACUGGC
rnacentral:rRNA from 1 species